rnacentral:rRNA from 1 species
UUCAGUUUAAAGAAUGUCCUCUUGCGUCUAACGCAUUUAAAUACAACUUUCAGCAACGGAUCUCUUGGCUCUCGCAUCGAUGAAGAACGCAGCGAAAUGCGAUAAGUAAUGUGAAUUGCAGAAUUCAGUGAAUCAUCGAAUCUUUGAACGCACCUUGCGCUCCUUGGUAUUCCGAGGAGCAUGCCUGUUUGAGUGUCAUGGAAUUCUCAACUCUAUUUGCUUUUGUGAAUAGAGCUUGGACUUGGAGGUUUAUUGCCGGUACCUGUGAUCGGCUCCUCUUGAAUGCAUUAGCUCGAACCUUUUGUGGAUCAGCUUAUCGGUGUGAUAAAAUGUCUACGCCGUUACUGUGAAGCAUAUUAUUCGGCUUCCAAUCGUCCUUCACGGGACAAUAAC